AGCUCAGUGACGGUUAGUAUCAAUCUAGUUGAGAAAACAUGGUGGCGUCGGUAAACUUGUUGGAUUUUGUUUCAUUUGCAAAGCUAUUUACGACAAGGAAAACCCGAAAGUUUCCACAUUUGGUGUAAAUAAAACUAAUUUGGAAUCUUGGCAGCAAAAAGCAGCCGGAAUUACUGUUGGGGACAAAUUGUGUGAAAAACAUUUUGCUCCACAUGAUGUUAUCAAAGGAUCUUUCGUGCUGGACUAUUUAUGUCCUUACAAAAGGUGGAGGGUUGCUGAAAAUGCAAUCCCACAAUACUUCCUCACAUCACAGAAACCAAUGAAGCAUAAGCACUAGUCGACAAAACUGAAAAUUUGUCUGGAUGUAAAACAAAGCACAGAGAUGCAAAGGUGAUUCCAAAUCCGUCUCCCAGACUAACAACCAGACCAAAGCAGAAAACAAGCAAAAAACCCGCAGAAGAAACCUCAAUUAUCAAAGUCUAAUGUACAUACUAUCAUAAAGAAAUCAACAUGUGUAAAUACAGCCUCCUUAAAAUAAAA